AUUAUACUCCCUCCGUCCCAAAAUUCUUGUCUUGUAUUUGCCUAGAUAUGGAUGUAUCUAAUACUAAAUCUUGACUUGAUACAUCCAUAGUUAGACAAAUCUAAGACAAGAAUUUUGGGACGGAGGGAGUAUGAG
rfam:Triticum aestivum genome assembly, contig: Triticum_aestivum_CS42_TGACv1_scaffold_373967_5AL